AAGUCGUAACAAGGUUUCCGUAGGUGAACCUGCGGAAGGAUCAUUACUGUGAUUUACUACUACACUGCGUGAGCGGAACGAAAACAACAACACCUAAAAUGUGGAAUAUAGCAUAUAGUCGACAAGAGAAAUCUACGAAAAAACAAACAAAACUUUCAACAACGGAUCUCUUGGUUCUCGCAUCGAUGAAGAGCGCAGCGAAAUGCGAUACCUAGUGUGAAUUGCAGCCAUCGUGAAUCAUCGAGUUCUUGAACGCACAUUGCGCCCCUCGGCAUUCCGGGGGGCAUGCCUGUUUGAGCGUCGUUUCCAUCUUGCGCGUGCGCAGAGUUGGGGGAGCGGAGCGGACGACGUGUAAAGAGCGUCGGAGCUGCGACUCGCCUGAAAGGGAGCGAAGCUGGCCGAGCGAACUAGACUUUUUUUCAGGGACGCUUGGCGGCCGAGAGCGAGUGUUGCGAGACAACAAAAAGCUCGACCUCAAAUCAGGUAGGAAUACCCGCUGAACUUAA
rnacentral:rRNA from 1 species